GUGAAUUAAGCGGUCUGUGUUGAGCGACAUGAAUUCCUUUACCGCGUGGCGUUCCAAAGGCGAUUCUCACCCGGGUGUUGCCUGUGCUGUGGCUCUCCUCUAUGCCCAAGAAACAGGUCUGCAUCCAGGCUUGGUGGGAAUUUCCACUACAGAAAGAGAAUCAAAUACCCCAGCCACUAUGCCAUGAAAUGCAACCUCUGGCUUCGCAACCUCUGUGAGUUGCUGAAUUCUUCCUUCCAAGUUGCUCGCCAACUACCAGACUCUCUGCGCCAGAUCAGCCAUCGCCAUUGUUCUCGUCUCUGAAAAUUGUUCUGUCAAUGAAAUGAUCUACCAUGAAGGACAUCUGUGGAAACACAGUCUGUGACGAGAGCCCAUGAAUAAUUUCCACGUGCUCCUGCCAGUCUUUUAAGCUGCGCGUCCUUGAGUCACAGAGACAUGGCUGGGCAGCUGAAAGUGUCACCGAGUAUUCCGUGGACACCACAGUUCACUCAAGUGUUAACUGCUCACAAGGAUACACAGCCAGCCUCCCCCAAACAUGAGGCGAUCCAACUGUGUUCUUCCCAUGAGAAGCCAAAGGCAUCUCUCCCCAAGCACAAAGUAGUAAAGAGCCCUGGAUGCCUGGUUCCUAUUCCUGGGAGCGUAUGCAAUUACCCUGUCACCCUGGUGGCCAACGCUGACUGUCCUAUCAGCAUGACUCCUGAUUAUCAGCUCCCCAUCUGCAUGAAAGUAAAAGCCAGCUCAUCCUAUUAACCGGCUCCGAAUCCUCCACUGGCUUCCCCUUUCACUAGAAUAAAACCCUAAAUCUUUACA
rnacentral:lncRNA from 1 species